UAUCUACUCUCUCCGUCCAGAAAUACUUAUCACAAAAAUAUAUAAAAAUGAAUGUAUUUAGAACUAAAAUAUGUCUAGAUAUAUCCGUGUCUCCGACAAGUAUUUUCGAACGGAGGGAGUAGAUA
rfam:Triticum aestivum genome assembly, contig: Triticum_aestivum_CS42_TGACv1_scaffold_132719_2BL